AAACUUACCUGGCGCCGGGUUCAGGGUGAUCAGCAAGGCUCAGCAUUGCACUCCGCUGUGUUGAAGCCUGCGACGGACUCUAAUCGGGUUCGCUCGGGUGCAUAGUUUUUGCCAGUGGGGAGCCUUCGGGCGUCCCUU
rfam:Echinococcus multilocularis genomic scaffold, pathogen_EmW_scaffold_04